AUGUCGCUCAAUUUGAUCUGCAGGAGAGAGAAGGAAGGAGAGGAGGGAGAAAGGAAGAGGAAAGAGAAAAGGGAGGUGCAGCGACGGAUGGGUGAGGGUCACCGGAAGGAGCGCCGCCGGCUCGUCGCCUUUCACACCGAGGUGGAGCAAAUAUGCCUCUGUACAGCCCUCAUGCUAGCAGGGUCCUUGCAAGAAGUGGAAGGUAGAGGUCGUACGCCAGCCGGAGCAGCAGGAGCAAGUAUCUGGCGCCAUCUGCCUCCCCGUUGCACAACACCACUGCAUCUCCUUCCUGUUUUAUUUUUAGUUUUUACAUGUUCAGAUAUAGGUUGGCUUGAUCUCUUGUGUCAGGGAGGUGCGAGGUUAGGCAUUUAG
rnacentral:rRNA from 1 species